AUGUCGUCGUUCGCCGGCGUGUCGGUCGUCGACGGCGUCGAUCUGUGCCCCCCUUGCGCCGGGUCGGCCUGCGAAACCAACGCCUACUGCGGGUACCACCUGCUCGUCGUCCAGGGCUACUCGCGCGCCAAGGAGAAGGCGCCCACCGGGGAGAGCAUCAUCUCCCGGCCCUUCAGGGUCGGAUGCCAUACGUGGCAGAUCGAGCUCUUCCCCAACGGCGAUAACCCGAGCUGCGCCGACUUCGUCUCUCUCUACGUCUGCCGCCUCGACGACUAUCUCAACAAUGCCGUGGAUGCCAAGUUCAGUCUCAGUUUCGUCGACCAGGCCGAGAAGCAGAAGCCGGUGUACAUUCUUGGGACCGAGACGUGCAGCUUCCCCCAUGGCGGUUCUCGGGGCCACCGCAAGUUCAUGAGGAAAGACGCCCUUGAACGAUCGGAGAAUAUGAGGCGUGAUGGUUUCACCGUCCGGUGCGACAUCAUGAUCUGCUGCGAGGAGGAUGACGACGCCGGUGGCACCGCCCCGCCUCGCUACAUAUGCCAGCAUUUUAACACUCUCCUUGAAAGUAAGGUGGGCGCUGAUGUGACCUUCGAGGUCAGCGGCGAGACGUUCGCUGCGCACCGGUGCGUGCUUGCUGCCCGAUCGACGGUCUUCAUGGCGCAGCUCUUUGGCCCCAUGAAGGAGGGCACCACGUCCAGUGUCAUACAGAUUGAAGACAUGGAGGCAAAAGUGUUCAGGGCUUUGCUUAGGUUCAUCUACACAGACUCAUUCCCUGAGAUGGAGAAGGAAGUCAUCCAGGAGGAAGCACAAGAAGUGGAACAAGGACAAGAAGAGGAUGAAAUGCGUUUGCAAUGGUUGUGA
rnacentral:rRNA from 1 species